UACGGAGGGGGCUAGCGUUGUUCGGAAUUACUGGGCGUAAAGCGCGCGUAGGCGGACCUGCAAGUCGGGGGGUGAAAGCCCGAGGCUCAACCUCGGAACUGCCUUUGAUACUGGGGAUCUCGAGUCCGGGAGAGGUGAGUGGAACUGCGAGUGUAGAGGUGAAAUUCGUAGAUAUUCGCAAGAACACCAGUGGCGAAGGCGGCUCACUGGCCCGGUACUGACGCUGAGGUGCGAAAGCGUGGGGAGCAAACAGG
rnacentral:rRNA from 1 species